UUGAAGGUAACUCAGCUGUAUAUUUGGCAAAAUGUGAUGUGUUAAAACUAGAUUCUAAUUAGGCUGGGCCCUUUUCUAGGUGAAGUUAAAACUAACUGGUUUAAUCUUCAUUUUCUACCAGUUACAGAUGGUGUAAUCAGUCUGGAGUCCUCUGCCAUAACAGACCUCCAUGCAGUUGAAGAUGAAGACACCUUGUCAGCUGCCAUAUGGGGAGGGUUCAGAGAGGCCUAUAGGCAAGAUCAUAGUUGGAAGUGACACCGAGGAAGAGGGUCCAUCCACCUCCACAGCCCAACUUACUUCAGUAAGCUGUUCGGCCUGUGGCUUACAUUGAACCAAGACCUGGCACUGGAAAGUUCAAUUUACAUAUAUAUAUACAUAUAUAUAUAUAUAUAUAUAUAUAUAUAUAUAUAUAUAUAUAUAUAUAUAUAUACUUACUAUAGUUGCGUUUCUUUAGUUACAUUGACACUGACAGAUUUAUCGAUUAUUCAAGACAGUGAAAGUGGUGAUAUAAGUGUUUUUUGUUGUUGUUUAUUUACUUUUACUUUCAUACCAGAAUGAGUGGCGGAGCGCAGCAUUCUACCAGGUGGAACCUUCUUUUGGAGUCUGUAUCAGACUUUUGAGACACAGCUAAGCUAAGCUUGAAAGUUAGCCUGCCCCCGAGCAGGCUAGUUCUUGUGCAUAAGUUGCCAUGGUUACUCAACGGGCAUUCAAAUAAGCCACGUUGAUGGAACAGAACUCUCUCUUAAAUGUGUCCUUGGACCUCUUCUGUUCAACUUGUAUAUGCUCCCUUUGGGUCAAAUAUUACAGAGCUGUAGCAUUAAUUAUCAAAGUUAUA